CUUACUUUUUAAAUUAUACAAUAUUUCUGGCAUAAAUUCCUUUUCAUAACUUUUCUUACAACUUUCACAAUCUUCAACAUGCCUUAACUUUCUGCCUUCCUUUUACACUCUUUGUUUUCGUAGUUUCACCUUCUGUGUCUUUCUUUGAUUUCUGUCGCUCCCACCAACGGCAGGGUCAGGCCACGGCACGGGCCCCACCCCUGCGCAUACAUUGCCAUCUGUUUCUCCUGUUUUUGUUUGUUUGUUUGUUUUCCGAUUUCCCUUUUUACUUUUUUUUCCCCUUUCUUCCUACACUUAGUUUCUUGGGCUGGGUGGGAUUUGCACAGCUGCAGUCCUGGCCCCAGGCAGUCCCCCACACUCUCCUUCUGGCAUCAGUCCCUGCCCUCUUUUUCACAUAGAGCCUGGCUGGGGAGAGGGGCUUAACUCUUGGUGUGCCUGGCUGUCUGGUGUCGCACUUGCUGUUUUUGCUGUCUUUCUCCUUUCCCUUCCCCUAGGGGAGCAACCGGCGGGAGUGGAGCUUAGCCUUUUCUUUCCCGGAGAAGAGGGAAAAGGAGAAUUUUGAAUAUAUACGUAUAUAUAAUUUUUUUUACUACCAGAGGUUUUUGUGAAGUUCAAUCCCCUCACCAAUGGCGAUUUCUCACUUCUUUUUGAGAUUCAACUUCUUAUCUAUGGGGAUUUCUUACUUUUUUUUGAGGUUCAACCUCCUCUCAGUGGGAAUUUCUUACUUCUUUUUGAGGUUCAACCCCCCAUGGGGAUUUUUCACUUCUUUCUGAGGUUCAACUUCUUUCUUAAUGGAGAUUUCUUACUUCUUUUUAACUUCUAAGACAUCUUGACUAAGGAAUACUUCACCACCACCCCCUCCCCACCCCCGAGGCUUUCUUUCCUUAGUCCUGACUAAGGAAUGCUUUACCC
rnacentral:lncRNA from 1 species